UUUGAAUUUUCGCACCUCGCGAGUUGCGGAGCCUGCGUCUCUGAAGCUGCCUGGGUGAAGAGCCACAGCAUUAUUUUUUUUCUCUUUGGGAGAGUAGCUGUCUGGGAUCUGUUUGAGAUCCUGUCUUCCCUGCAAAUUACCAGGUUGCAUCUUCACUGAUAGGAAUACAUUUCUUCACCAAAGGACAUGGAUGAAAAUGAAAGCAACCAGUCUCUGAUGACAAGCAGCCAAUAUCCUAAAGAAGCAGUAAGAAAACGUCAAAAUUCAGCACGGAAUUCCGGAGGAAGUGAUUCUUCUAGGUUUUCUAGGAAAAGCUUCAAACUGGAUUAUAGGCUAGAAGAAGAUGUAACUAAAUCCAAGAAAGGAAAAGAUGGGAGAUUUGUGAAUCCGUGGCCAACAUGGAAAAACCACUCUAUUCCACAUGUUCUCAGAUGGCUGAUAAUGGAGAAAGAUCACAGCAGUGUUCCAAGUUCUAAAGAGGUAGCGCUUGGCUUUUUUGAGUGCUUUAUAUUUGCUCUUCAUAUAUGACACUCUAGUUAUUUGAGCCCUUAUAUAUCAUAAGGCAUAGAAUUAGGUCUGAGGAGAUAAAGUGGAUAGGUGUAACCUAGGCCCUAAAGUUCAUCAUUCAGUAACAGAGUACAUAUAGGAAUAACCAACCCUGAUCUGGUGGCAACUAGAGGUAGGAACAGAGUGCUUUAGAGGUACAAGAAAGAAUGUGAUGCUGACAGGCAGAGCUGGAGAUGGCUUCACAGAGGAGGUGAAUAUUUCAGCUGGGCCUAGACAACUAAAAAGUAUUUUGACAGUGAUUUUCCAGGUAGAUGAUGGCAUGAACAAGGUCAUGAAGGUGAGACAGUGUAUUACAUGCUCUGCAAGGUAGUAGCCUGGUACAUGUGUGGAAUAUGGAUCAUGAGGGUGAAGGCAUGGCCUAGAGUGCUUGGCUUUUAACCGUUGGAUAAGGCUGCCAAAGCUGUGAAAGGGAGCUUCAGAUGACCUUUCCAGACCUUGAAAAGUUGACUCUAGGUUCCUAGCCUUUAAAUGUACUAGUUUUACUUAAGAUGAUUCUACUUGGCCUCCUCCUAUUCUGUUAGAAUAGAUAGAUCACAGUUUUAGGUUAAGUUGAUUUCAUGGUUUACACUGAGUAUAUCAGUAUUUUUCAUUGGUGAACGAAGUAAGUACUAUGGCUGUGUCUCCUUUCCUUAUAUACCUCUCCCUCUGCCAUGUUAACAACAUCUCUUUCAUCUGCUUGACUUUCUGUGUAUUUAUGACGAUUAUUUCCCUGCCUCCUAUGGCCUCUCAAUGCCAUUUUCCUGAGGGAAAGACUCUCAGGUGGUCGUUCAGCACUGGGCUGUAGUCUGAGCUGAUGCCUUCCCAGGGUCUCUGCCGACUUCCAUUCUAGGGCACCCUUCACCAGCCUCCUGGGCUGCCUUGUGUCUUCUAUGGUAGCCCUUAUUAUCUGCAUCCCACUUGUUCCUCUUUCUGUGUCAUUUUCUCAUUUUGGUGGAGCAUAUUUUCAGUGAACUUCCUGAGAAAGGGUACAUGGAAAGUAAGUUUUUUGAAAUCUUGCUUGUCUGAAAUGUCUUUAUUCUCACUCAUAAUUGAUAGUUUGGGUAUAGAAUUUUUGUUUAGAAACAGUUUUCUCUCAGAAUUUGAGAGUAUUGCCUCCAUAACUUUAUUUCUAGUAUGGCUAUGGGGAGGUUCAGUGCCAUCCUUACUCUCGAUCCUUUGAACAGGCCCUUUGUUUUCUCUCUAGAGACUUUGAGAAUCCUCUCUUUGGCACCAGUGUUCUGAAAAUUGCCAUGAUGUGUAGUUCUUUAUUUAUUCAUUGUGCUCUGUGUGUGGUGGGCCCUUUCAGUCUGAAAAUCCAUUUCCUUCAGUUCUAGGAAAUUUCGUCUGUAUCUUUGAAAAUGUCCUUCCCUACAUCUUUUUAUUCUAAAAUGACUAUUAGUUAUAGUAGUUCUAUUUUGGACCUCCUGGAUCAAUUCUCUGUAAUUUAAGAAAAUUUAUUCUAUGUUUUAUCUUUUUAAAAAUAUUACAUGGCCAGGUGCAGUGGCUCAUGCCUAUAAUACCCACACUUUAGGAGGCUGAGGCAGGUGAAUUGCUUGAGCUGAGGAGUUCAAGACCAGCCGGGGCAACAUAGCAAAAUGCCAUCUCUACCAAAAUAAAUAAAUAAAUAA
rnacentral:sRNA from 1 species